UCACUGUCAUCCCUCUCACCCAACGCUCUCACUUCCUCCGCAAACGCUGCAACUCCUCCCUCUCAGCACACUCUCACUCUCAUUCUCACUCUCACAUUUCCACUCUCAGUCUCACUCGCUCAUGUGGUCCCUCACAACUCCUCUUUUCACAGUUCACUCACACUCGCUCUCGGUCCCUCGCUACUCCUCUUCUCACAGUUCACUCACACUCGUAGUCGCUGCCGGUUUGUACAGCACUCUUCACAGUGGUGCGAAUUGCGAAACGCACAGUCGCAUCAUAUUAGCAAGUUCCAUAGAGGCGAAAGCCACAAUCUUUCUCUGCCGUUUUUGAGAUUGAACUCUGAGUAGGAAAGGAAGCCAAAUUCUCUCGUUGCACAUCAUCGUUUUCUUCUUCUUCCACUACUUCAAUGCUCUAAUACAUCUCGAUCUCUCUCAUUAAGGUACUUUUCACCUUCAUUUAUUUAAGAUAUGUUCCAUUCUUCACUUCUCCGUUCAUUGCAUCCAUUUUUUGUGUUGUCUCCAAUUUACCCUCCAAUUACUCAAAGUUACAUUUCUUAGUGUUCUAUCAAUGAUUUCGUGGAAAAAUUCUCAAAUCCUUCUUUUAUUUUCGGAUAGUUUUUAUUUUAAUUUGGAAAUUAUAGUUUGUUGACGCACAGAACUGCUGAAUGCCAUAUGUAACAUCGAUGGUUUUGAUGUUUUAUUUAUGAGAAAUUUGGGAAACAAAUUAAACUAAGGUUUGGAUGCUUACUACGUGUAAUGCUGAAAAAAUUUAUAGGCAUUGCUGAUAAUUGGGGAUGAUUGGAUAGUGUGUUCUUGUGGCUUGGGCUGCGUAGUUAUUGCUGAUAAUUUAUCACAACUUGAUUUUCAUUGAACUAAGAAAUAGUUUAUAUUAAUUUAUAUUCCCAGCUCCAAAUUUUUUCUUCUUUUUGGAAUUGAACAAAUAUUUUGUGUUCUUAUCCGCAUCAGAAUUUAGAAGAAUAAUUUUAGUUGGAUUUUCAUUUGUGUUUUGGUGUAUUUUAAUUGUGAGAUGUGGCUUAAUGAUCACUAGGUCAUCCUGUAAAAAAAUGAUCACUAGCUCAUAGAAAACAUAUAUGACGACAAAUCUUGGAAUGUCAAAUUUCCUUUAAUCUAAUGAACUAAUGUUUGCUUAAAGAACGACAAACUUCUUUUACGACCCUGUGAUCUUUGUUGAUUUGGAACAACCAACUCAUACUUUCCAUGCAUCUAGCUCACUUUUCCAGUUUCUCAACAUUUCAUUUGUUGAGCCUCUUAGUAAUUAUUAACAAUAUUACUAAUAGAAUAAUAAAUUAAUGUCACUUAAUUGUGUAUCCCUCUCACCAUAUAUAGUAUUAGUUUUUUAUGUACAAACCAAUAUUUUAUUUAUAAUCAAUGAAACAUGUAUGUCAACUAAUUUAUACAAAUUGAUAUUGAUUUUCACUACUAGAAAAUGUACAUUUAACAUCGUCAGGUUAACAUUGAUUUUUGAUAAAAUCGAUGUUAACAUAAAUAUGGUGGCAUAAAUGUAAAUAAUGUGUAUUCGUUAACAUCGAUUUUCUGAAAAACCGAAGUUAAUGAACUGACGUUAAAAACCCGAUGUUAACGUCGGUUAACAUCGGUUUUUCAAAAAUCGAUGUUAACGUCAGCUCAUUAACAUCGGUUUUUUCAGAAAAUCGAUAUUAACGUAUGAUAAGUUAACAUUGGUUUCUUCCAGAAAAUCGAUGUUAACGUUAACAUCACAUGGUUAACAUCAUUUUAUUUUUAUUGAAAAUCGAUGUUGAACCUACAUUUAAAAAUAUUAGAACGCGAGCCCUAUUUUCCUUGCACUCUCUUCUUCUCCGUCUAAGCUUCGUCUUCGUGACUCUAUCUCUCUCUACAAUCUUAUCACCAUCGUGAUACCUCGCCACUGUACCCAUGUAUUUUUCUGCAACCUUAUUUUUCGUGACUCUGUCUUCUCUGCAUCUUUUUGUAUUGAAUAACAUGGCUGGGUUUGGCUCACCUCGCAUGGCUGAGUUUUUGCCAAGUCCCGUGGCGGCGGAAUGGCAUGGCCUGGCCUUGACUAUGGUGACCGCAUGGCUGAGUUUUAAUGCUAAGGGAAAAGUCCUUUUGAUUGUCAAUGUUGCUUCUCAAAAUCCUUAAUCUGUGCUGUGCUUGUUACUUCUUUUUUUCCCCCCCUGAUUGUGCCUUCUAAUUAAUUUAAAGCCUUGAUAUUUUCAUCUUUUCUAUUCUUUUCAGUAACUACUCUCACCGCUAAUGUUAUAAAUGUUGAGAAUAUUUACAAUAUAUGUUUGGGAUUGAGACAACGGCUUGACCAACUCCAAUUAUAUGGAGCUGAAUCAAUUGUAUGACAAGUAUAAAGACCAAGGUUUUUGUUUGUAUUACUAUAUAUAGUUGGUUGUAUUAAACAGUAACCAUCAUAACCUUAUUGUUUAUCUUUGUUUCUUUCUAUUGUCUUAUAAGUAUAUUGUUGGUUUUGUAAACUUAAUUAGGCCUGAAGAUUCUGGCAUUUCCAUGUAACCAAUUUGGUAAGCAAGAACCAGA
rnacentral:lncRNA from 1 species